rnacentral:rRNA from 1 species
UAACGCCGCGUGGAGGAUGACGGCCUUCGGGUUGUAAACUCCUUUUCUGUGGGAAGAUAGAAGACGGUACCACAGGAAUAAGUCUCGGCUAACUACGUGC